rnacentral:misc_RNA from 1 species
GUAAAGGUUUAUAGGCACAAAGGCCUAUCAAUUACAUUCUAUAAACAUACAUUAGGGUAUAUGAAGAAACAUAGACCUAAAAAUAUAAGAAGAGACAAUAAGUCAAUUCUCAAUCCUAAAUGCUAAACAAGCAUUCAGAGAGAUACUCAGGUCUACAAAAGGUGCACAGGAGAAAAUAUAAAGAUGACAAGUGUGCACAUUGCUCCCUAGAGAACCAGCAGCAACUUAUCAGGUUUAUUUCAAUAAUGAUCCUUCCGCAGGUUCACCUACGGAAA